UACGUAGGGUGCGAGCGUUGUCCGGAAUUAUUGGGCGUAAAGAGCUCGUAGGCGGUUUGUCGCGUCGGCUGUGAAAUCCCGAGGCUUAACCUCGGGCCUGCAGUCGAUACGGGCAGACUAGAGUUCGGUAGGGGAGACUGGAAUUCCUGGUGUAGCGGUGAAAUGCGCAGAUAUCAGGAGGAACACCGGUGGCGAAGGCGGGUCACUGGGCCGAUACUGACGCUGAGGAGCGAAAGCGUGGGGAGCGAACAGG
rnacentral:rRNA from 1 species